rnacentral:rRNA from 1 species
CUACGGGUCGCUCCAGUGAGGAAUUUUGCGCAAUGGGGGGAACCCUGACGCAGCAACGCCGCGUGAGUGAAGAAGGCCUUUGGGUCGUAAAGCUCUGUCAACAAGGGAGAAGUUAGCAUUGAUGAACAGUUGAUGCUAUUGACGGUACUUGUGGAGGAAGCGCCGGCUAACUCCGUGCCAGCAGCCGCGGUAACACGGGGGGCGCAAGCGUUAUUCGGAAUUAUUGGGCGUAAAGGGCGCGUAGGCGGCCUUAUCAGUCAGAUGUGAAAGCCCGGGGCUCAACCCCGGACGUGCAUUUGAAACAGUAAGGCUUGAGUACGGGAGAGGAAAGCGGAAUUCCUGGUGUAGAGGUGAAAUUCGUAGAUAUCAGGAGGAACACCGAUGGCGAAGGCAGCUUUCUGGACCGAUACUGACGCUGAGGCGCGAAGGCGUGGGUAGCGAACAGGAUUAGAUACCCGUGUAGUC